rnacentral:rRNA from 1 species
GACGAACGCUGGCGGCGUGCUUAACACAUGCAAGUCGAACUGAAAGGCCCUGCUUUUGUGGGGUGCUCGAGUGGCGAACGGGUGAGUAACACGUGAGUAACCUGCCCUUGACUUUGGGAUAACUUCAGUAAACUGGGGCUAAUACCGGAUAGGAGCUCCUGCUGCAUGGUGGGGGUUGGAAAGUUUCGGCGGUUGGGGAUGGACUCGCGGCUUAUCAGCUUGUUGGUGGGGUAGUGGCUUACCAAGGCUUUGACGGGUAGCCGGCCUGAGAGGGUGACCGGCCACAUUGGGACUGAGAUACGGCCCAGACUCCUACGGGAGGCAGCAGUGGGGAAUAUUGCACAGUGGGCGGAAGCCUGAUGCAGCAACGCCGCGUGCGGGAUGACGGCCUUCGGGUUGUAAACCGCUUUCGCCUGUGACGAAGCGUGAGUGACGGUAAUGGGUAAAGAAGCACCGGCUAACUACGUG